rnacentral:rRNA from 1 species
UGGGGGGGGUGCUAUACUGCAGUCGAGCGGACAGAAGGGAGCUUGCUCCCGGAUGUUAGCGGCGGACGGGUGAGUAACACGUGGGUAACCUGCCUGUAAGACUGGGAUAACUCCGGGAAACCGGAGCUAAUACCGGAUAGUUCCUUGAACCGCAUGGUUCAAGGAUGAAAGACGGUUUCGGCUGUCACUUACAGAUGGACCCGCGGCGCAUUAGCUAGGCCUUGGUGAGGUAGACGGCUCACCAAGGCGACGAUGCGUAGCCGACCUGAGAGGGUGAUCGGCCACACUGGGACUGAGACACGGCCCAGACUCCUACGGGAGGCAGCAGUAGGGAAUCUUCCGCAAUGGACGAAAGUCUGACGGAGCAACGCCGCGUGAGUGAUGAAGGUUUUCGGAUCGUAAAGCUCUGUUGUUAGGGAAGAACAAGUGCAAGAGUAACUGCUUGCACCUUGACGGUACCUAACCAGAAAGCCACGGCUAACUACGUGCCAGCAGCCGCGGUAAUACGUAGGUGGCAAGCGUUGUCCGGAAUUAUUGGGCGUAAAGGGCUCGCAGGCGGUUUCUUAAGUCUGAUGUGAAAGCCCCCGGCUCAACCGGGGAGGGUCAUUGGAAACUGGGAAACUUGAGUGCAGAAGAGGAGAGUGGAAUUCCACGUGUAGCGGUGAAAUGCGUAGAGAUGUGGAGGAACACCAGUGGCGAAGGCGACUCUCUGGUCUGUAACUGACGCUGAGGAGCGAAAGCGUGGGGAGCGAACAGGAUUAGAUACCCUGGUAGUCCACGCCGUAAACGAUGAGUGCUAAGUGUUAGGGGGUUUCCGCCCCUUAGUGCUGCAGCUAACGCAUUAAGCACUCCGCCUGGGGAGUACGGUCGCAAGACUGAAACUCAAAGGAAUUGACGGGGGCCCGCACAAGCGGUGGAGCAUGUGGUUUAAUUCGAAGCAACGCGAAGAACCUUACCAGGUCUUGACAUCCUCUGACAACCCUAGAGAUAGGGCUUUCCCUUCGGGGACAGAGUGACAGGUGGUGCAUGGUUGUCGUCAGCUCGUGUCGUGAGAUGUUGGGUUAAGUCCCGCAACGAGCGCAACCCUUGAUCUUAGUUGCCAGCAUUCAGUUGGGCACUCUAAGGUGACUGCCGGUGACAAACCGGAGGAGAGGUGGGGAUGACGUCAAAUCAUGCACUUAGACGGGGCACCUGGUAAUGGACCUAAGGGCUACACCACGUGGACUCACAAUGUGACAGAACAAAGGGCUAGGCGAGAGGCUAUCGAACAACGCGUUAUAGCCAACGCUCCCACAUUAACGAGGGUCUGUUCUCGGAGUUCAGGGAUCCGGCAGUCUGGCAACUCGACUGCGUGAAGCUGGAAUCGCUAGUAAUCGCGGAUCAGCGACUGCCGCGGUGAAUACGUUCCCGGGCCUUGUACACACCGCCCGUCACACCACGAGAGUUUGCAACACCCGAAGUCGGUGAGGUAACCUUUAUGGAGCCAGCCGCCGAAGAUUAC